GGUGGGGGAGAUGUACGAAAAAUUACCAACCUAACCCUUAACCCAAGUAUUGUAUUUGGUUAUUUACUAAAAUCCCCUUUUGGCGGAGAAGGGUGGAUCGUUAGUGUGGACGAUUUGGAAGAUAUAAUCGGAGGGCAUGUAUGGUUAGGUUCCAUUUGUAUACUUGGUGGAAUCUGGCAUAUCUUAACCAAACCUUUUGCAUGGGCUCGUCGUGCACUUGUAUGGUCUGGAGAGGCUUACUUGUCUUAUAGUUUAGGCGCUUUAGCUGUUUUUGGUUUAUUGCUUGUUGCUUUGUUUGGUUCAAUAAUACCGCCUAUCCGAGUGAGUUUUACGGGCCCACUGGACCCGAAGCUUCUCAAGCUCAAGCAUUUACUUUUUUGGUUAGAGACCAACGUCUUGGGGCUAACGUAGGAUCCGCUCAAGGACCUACCGGUUUAGGUAAAUAUCUAAUGCGCUCUCCGACUGGGGAAGUUAUUUUUGGAGGAGAAACUAUGCGUUUCUGGGAUCUGCGUGCCCCCUGGUUAGAACCUCUAAGGGGUCCUAAUGGUUUGGACUUGAGUAGGCUGAAAAAAGACAUACAGCCUUGGCAAGAGCGGUCGUUCUGCGGAAUAUAUGACUCAUGCUCCUUUAGGUUCUUUAAAUUCCGUGGGUGGCGUAGCUACCGAGAUCAAUGCAGUCAAUUAUGUCUCUCCUAGAAGUUGGUUAGCUACUUCUCAUUUUGUUCUAGGAUUCUUCCUAUUCGUAGGUCAUUUAUGGCAUGCAGGAAGGGCUCGUGCAGCUGCUGCCGGAUUUGAAAAAGGAAUUGAUCGUGAUUUUGAACCUGUUCUGUCCAUGACUCCUCUUAACUGAGAUAGAGAUCCAAUGCUUGAAGUAGGAAUCAAAUUGAUUCCACCAAACCUAAUAUGUACGGUGGACGAGGUCCUAUUUAAAAAGUAUUCCUUCUUCCUUUCUUUUCAACUCAUUUCUCUCUUCUAAUCGAUUUUUUUUCUGGCUCGGCUAUCCCGUUUAGCCGAGCCAUUUCCUUUUAUGCU